GCUAGUUGGUCAGGUAACGGCUGACCAAGGCUACGAUGUCUAGGGGUUCUGAGAGGAAGGUCCCCCACACUGGAACUGAGACACGGUCCAGACUCCUACGGGAGGCAGCAGUGAGGAAUAUUGGACAAUGGUCGGAAGACUGAUCCAGCCAUGCCGCGUGAAGGUUACAGUCCUAUGGAUUUUAAACUUCUUUUGUAUGGAAGCAAUAAGGUGUACGCGUACACCGAUGAGAGUCCCAUACGAAUAAGCAUCGGCUAACUCCGUGCCAGCAGCCGCGGUAAUACGGAGGAUGCAAGCGUUAUCCGGAUUUAUUGGGUUUAAAGGGUGCGUAGGCGGAUAUGUAAGUCAGCGGUGAAACUCACAGGCUCAACCUGUGCCGUGCCGUUGAAACUGUGUAUCUGGAAUGCGGAUGCUGUGGGAGGAAUGUGUAGUGUAGCGGUGAAAUGCAUAGAUAUUACACAGAACACCGAUUGCGAAGGCAUCUCACAAAGCCGUUAUUGACGCUGAGGCACGAAAGUGUGGGGAUCAAACAGGAUUAGAUACCCUGGUAGUCCACUACUGUAAACUAUGAUAACUCGCUGCCAGCGACAGACAGUUGGUGGCCCA
rnacentral:rRNA from 1 species